GAUGAUGAUCCCAAGCCUUCUGGCGCUCUCCUCAUAAAAAGCUGCUUUUUAAAAAGCUUUCUUCGUUGAGAAAAUUAUGCCGGGGAAGGUUUUCCGGUUUAUCCCGGAGGGCUUGUAGCUCAGUUGGUUAGAGCGCGCGCUUGAUAAGCGUGAGGUCGGAGGUUCAAGUCCUCCCAGGCCCACCAGUUACUCUAUCAAUGUAAUUUAAGCGCUGGGAAAGCUUUCUUUAUAGACAAUAUUCUAUAAAAUAAAACGAUUCUAUAAAGUUUUGGAUCUGUAAAAACCUUAUGGAUCCUGUAUGAUACUCUCCUUAAAGCUUAUUUACAAAAUUUGUUGAUAGCAGACAAUUGCGAUAACCCCACGCGUACAGUACGGUACAUAAAGUACGAAGUACGCUUAUAAAGUGCGGUUUGCUUGUGAAAGCAUUUUAAAAUAGAUAUCCAAUAAAUUGCUUGCUCUUUGCUUUCAACACUCCAGAGUAAAAGUCAUUGAAAGACAGAAACAAAGUCAUAUCUCUUCCAGAGCUCUUUAAAUGUUUCAAUAUUAUUCCAUUUGAGCGUUUUGCAUGAAGAAUUUUGAAUCUGUUAUGCUGUUUUAGGGGCCGUAGCUCAGCUGGGAGAGCACCUGCUUUGCAAGCAGGGGGUCGUCGGUUCGAUCCCGUCCGGCUCCACCAUUUGGUCAUCAUCAUUGUUGUAAGAACAGUGUUUGUAAAAGGUUUUAACAAACCUUUUGCUUGUUCU
rnacentral:tRNA from 1 species